CUACCAGAGUACUAUGAAUGAUAUAUAAUUUAAAACUCAAAGAACUUGGCGGUGUUUUAGACCACUUAGGGGAACCUGUCUCGUAAUCGACAGUCCACGCUGUACCUGACCUUUUUUGUUUUUAGUUUGUAUACCGUUGUCGUCAGGUAACUUUUUAGAAAGUAGAAGUUGGCUAUAGAAAUUUAUUGAUUUAGUACGUCAAAUCAAGGUGCAGCUAAUAAAAGGGGGAGGAUGGGUUACAAUUAUAUAGUUAUAAUAACGGAUGUCCACAUGAAAGUGUGGGUUGUGAAGGAGGACUUAGAAGUAAAUUGGAUUAGAAAAACAGUUUGAAUAAGGCUCUGAAACGUGU
rnacentral:rRNA from 1 species